rnacentral:rRNA from 1 species
UUCCCCUAGUAACUGCGAGUGAAGCGGGAAAAGCUCAAAUUUAAAAUCUGGCGGUCUUUGGSCCGUCCGAGUUGUAGUCUGGAGAAGUGCUUUCCGCGCUGGACCGUGUAUAAGUCUCUUGGAACAGAGCGUCAUAGAGGGUGAGAAUCCCGUCUUUGACACGGACUACCAGUGCUUUGUGAUGCGCUCUCAAAGAGUCGAGUUGUUUGGGAAUGCAGCUCAAAAUGGGUGGUGAAUUCCAUCUAAAGCUAAAUAUUGGCGAGAGACCGAUAGCGAACAAGUACCGUGAGGGAAAGAUGAAAAGCACUUUGGAAAGAGAGUUAAACAGUACGUGAAAUUGCUGAAAGGGAAACGCUUGAAGUCAGUCGCGUURKCCGGAACUCAGCCUUGCUUUYGCUUGGUGCACUUUCCGGAUUGACGGGYCAGCAUCGAUUUUGAYYGUCGGAWAAGGGCURGAGUAAUGUGGCACCUCCGGGUGUGUUAUAGACUYYRGUCGCACACGGCGGUYGGGAUCGAGGAACGCAGCGCGCCGUAAGGCAGGGGUUCGCCCACUUUCGCGCUUAGGAUGCUGGCAUAAUGGCUUUAAACGACCCGUCUUGAAACACGGACCAAGGAGUCUAACAUACCUGCGAGUGUUUGGGUGGAAAACCCGAGCGCGUAAUGAAAGUGAAAGUUGAGACCUCUGUCGUGGAGGGCAUCGACGCCCGGACCUGAMGUUYUCUGACGGAUCCGCGGUAGAGCAUGUAUGUUGGGAC